AGAUUCACUACCAUCUAUAUUCACACAAGCAGAGUAUUCUCGAGAAGAAAUUGAUGAGGUGCGAUCGGAGUUGGCAGAAUGUAUACAAGAUCAUAUUUAUGAGUAGGAGAAAUGCUCAAACUACAUGGUAGAGAUGGCAUGGAUAGAAAAUGUGAGUACUGAAUGAUCACAUUCAUCCCAAUAUAAGAUUUUAUUUAGUAGUAUUAUAGAUAAGUUCUAACAUUGUUUGGAAUAAUUUCACUUAUCACUUAAAGUGAAAAUAAGUUGAUUUGUAUACUUUUUCAUUCUUGUAAUGCUUAUUCGUUAUGAGU